rnacentral:misc_RNA from 1 species
GAUGAGAACGCAGCGAAAUGCGAUACGUAAUGUGAAUUGCAGAAUUCAGUGAAUCAUCGAAUCUUUGAACGCAUAUUGCGCUCUCUGGUAUUCCGGAGAGCAUGCUUGUUUGAGUAUCAGUAAACACCUCAACUUCCAUAUCUUUUUUGAAAUGGGAGUUGGACUUGAGUGAUCCCAACGCUUUUCCUCACCGAAAAGUGGCGGGUUACUUGAAAUGCAGGUGCAGCUGGACUUUUCUCUGAGCUAUAAGCAUAUCUAUUUAUUCUGCCUAAAAAACAGAUUAUUACCUUUGCUGCAGCUAACAUAAAGGAGAUUAGUUCUUGUGCUGACUGAUGCAGGAUUCACAAAGACGGCUUCGGCCGACUUUGUAAACUCGAUCUCAAAUCAAGUAAGACUACCCGCUGAACUUAAGCAUAUCAAUAAGCGGAGGA